ensembl:snRNA U6 U6 spliceosomal RNA
GUGCUCACUUUGGCAGCACAGAUACUAAAGUGGGGACAACACAGAGAAGAUUUGCAUGGUCUCUUUGUGAACGCAAAUUCACAAAGCGUUCCAUAUUUGG